AGCUUUGCACAGUGGCAAUAUUGUAGUCAGUGAGAUUUAACCAAGGCAUGAUUAUUGCUAAUUGAAAAUUUCCCUAGUACCCUACCAUGAAGACUUGCAAUACAAUCAGCAUUGCAACUUUUGACAGCCUCUAUGGAGA
ensembl:snRNA U4 U4 spliceosomal RNA